UUGAAUUUUUUGUGCAAAUCUGAAAAGCAAGAGACAAAAAUGGGUAGAAACAAAAAGGUGGAUAAAAAUGUGUAAUCAGCUUACCUUCUUUAACAAAAAAAAA